ensembl:lncRNA
AUAGUGUUAGGAUAACCAGGAGUUAAGGCAUAUGCAAAAGAACAGCAGGUGCAGCCAUUUUGCAUAAGUGAAAACAGCAGGUGCAGCCAUUUUGCAUAAGUGAAAGAACAGCAGGUGCAGACACUUCUAGGCAAGAUUCAGCAGCAUACAGGCCACAUCCUUUCUCCUGUGAUACAAGACAGAAGUUUCCACUUCGACCUCUGAUUGACUGUAGGCCAAGCCUUUGCUUCAGCUUUUGACUGGUUGCAGGUGAAUCCUUCAUAGGGUGUAAUCAAUUGGGGCCUUUAAAGGUGAGGUGAUACCUCACCUGUAGAGCAUUGCAAUGGAGAAGCUUUUGGGCCGCUUGCUGGAGCCUGCUCCUACUCUGUGAGUUGUACUUUUGCUUCUUCAGUAAAUCCGUGUCUUUGUUACUUCAUUCUUUUAUUGCGUUGUUUGUUUUUCAUUGUUUUGUUCUUUCGUUGCUUUUUUUGUGUAUUUUGUUCAAUACUUUAACACACGAGGAAUCUGGACAACUCACAGUCAAGACCUUCCAUCUGACACAUUUUGGCAAGCCAGCCAGAAGCUCUCUACGAAUAAAUCCAGGUUGAUGUACUCCAUUGCUCCGUAGAGAUAGCUGACUGCGAGAGAAGAAUCUCAUCUGAAUUCCAUGAAGUAAACAAAUAAAGUAAUGAUAAAGAAAGUAAACUGAAUGAUGAAUUAUGCCAGUGGUACCUAGCAGGACAAUACUGGAAACGAAGGAAAGGUUAGUGGUUGGUUGAAUGACAGCCUGUGAACUGGUUCCAUAUAUAAUUAGCUUUGUGCAUAUUUCAGCAUGUAUGGUUUUACUUCAUGAUGGAGGCCCUUAGAGUUACAUUAUUUCUCAAUAAAAACAGGAAACGGAUUCUAAAGUAACUUUUCUGAUUGUUUUGUACAAUUUAUACCGUAACUAAUUUUGAUAAAAAUUGUUUUAGAAAGGAGCAACUGAGUGCUUCUUGUCAUAUGGAAUACUUUUUAAGAGGUUUAUCAGCAAUAUUGACAUAUGGCCAAAGGCAGUUGAGUAUAGCAGCUCCCUGGUGAACAGGGUUGCAACUUGAAAAUUAGGACUCUAUCAAAAGCUAAAGGAUAUACUUUUCUAAAUUCUAUAUUUCAAAUGCUACAUAAUUCUCUAUGUAGGCUUAUUGUUAAAAAAAUUUCAGAGACCUUAAACCUCAUUUACCUUGAUUAUUAUGUGAAGAAAAUUAAUAUUUGAAAAUAGAAUAAUCAGUCAUUAGACCUUUAGUUCAGAAGUUGGGUUACUCUAUGGCAUAUCUGCCCCUCUCAAAAAUAGCGUUAGGCGUUUUGCCCAAGCCUGGAAUUGCAGGAUUUCGACAUCAGAAUACACUUAGAACGAACUGCCUCAAUAGUAAAUCUGUUGCAAGAUGGUAUAGAGCUUACGCUUGAAUACUUUGGGUAAUGAGAAACUAACUAUCCAGCCAUUCGUUUCACUUUUGUGGGGCUCUGAACAAUGAACAAAAACAUAUCUCAAUUCAACCGACAACUGCUGGUUUAUUUUGCUUUCCAGAUACAUGUCUUCCAGGUAUUUAAGACAGCAAUCAUUUUCCUCUAGAGUCUCAUUUUCAUUCGAACUAAAUGUC